GGGGAUGUACUGGAUUCGACGGGAGACCUUGGCGGCAAAAAGCAUGCAGAAGCGCCGAGCUUCUUUAAAAUCGGCAAAAAAAUUAAACGCUAACUCAAAAACAGAAUUAGCAUUCGCAGCUUAAUUUAAGUUGCCGCCGGCAAGCCGCGCCUACGGCGGUUUGCGCGGGCGUCAUAACUUGUGGGGUUUGUUUGGCUGUUUUGUCCUUUCGGUCAGGCGGACUAUCAAAAAGGGCUUGUUCGUCCAAACUUUUGGCCGCUAGGGGUUGGACGAAGACAUAGCUUAGCGGCUAAGCAUGUAGAAAGUUGCCAGUCAAUUCUUUCGGACCGGGGUUCAACUCCCCGCAUCUCCACCA
rnacentral:tmRNA from 1 species